AUCGAACGCUGGCGGCAGGCCUAACACAUGCAAGUCGAACGAGUGGCGGACUGGUGAGCAAUGUCUGGGAACCUGCCUGAUGGAGGGGGAUAACUACUGGAAACGGUAGCUAAUACCGCAUACCAUCAGAUGUGCCCAGGUGGGAUUAGCUAGUGGGGGGGGAAACGGCUCACCAAGGCGACGAUCCCUAGCUGGUCUGAGAGGAUGCCCGGCCACACUGGAACUGAGACACGGUCCAGACUCCUACGGGAGGCAGCAGUGGGGAAUAUUGCACAAUGGACGCAAGCCUGAUGCAGCCAUGCCGCGUGUGUGAAGAAGGCCUUCGGGUUGUAAAGUACUUUCAGCGGGGAGGCGUUACCCACCGAGAAAGCACCGGCUAACUCCGUGCCAGCAGCCGCGGUAAUAC
rnacentral:rRNA from 1 species